rnacentral:rRNA from 1 species
CCUACGGGAGGCAGCAGUGGGGAAUAUUGGACAAUGGGCGAAAGCCUGAUCCAGCAAUUCCGCGUGUGUGAAGAAGGCCUUCGGGUUGUAAAGCACUUUAGUGGGGGAAGAAACAGCUUGGCCACACCAAGCCUUGACGGUACCCCAAGAAUAAGCACCGGCUAACUCUGUGCCAGCAGCCGCGGUAAUACAGAGGGUGCAAGCGUUAAUCGGAUUUACUGGGCGUAAAGGGUGCGUAGGUGGCUAUUUAAGUCGGAUGUGAAAGCCCGGGGCUCAACCUCGGAAUUGCAUUCGAUACUGAGUGGCUAGAGUUCGGUAGAGGGCGGCGGAAUUUCCGGUGUAGCGGUGAAAUGCGUAGAUAUCGGAAGGAACAUCAAUGGCGAAGGCAGCCGCCUGGGCCUGGACUGACACUGAGGCACGAAAGCGUGGGUAGCAAACAGGAUUAGAUACCCUGGUAGUCCACGCCGUAAACGAUGAGACUUGACGUUGGUUACGUUUACGAAUCGGUGUCGCAGCUACGACGAUAAGUUACUCCGUCCGUCGGGUAGGUACGGCCGGCCGAACGGUUAGGUAAACGUAACUAAGUAGUAGUAGACGGUACGUAGAGACGACGACGACGACGACGACGGAGGGAGGAG